rfam:Triticum aestivum genome assembly, contig: Triticum_aestivum_CS42_TGACv1_scaffold_361717_4DS
UAUCUAUUUCCUCAGUCCGAAAAAAUUUGUCCCUAAAUAGAUGUAUCUAGCACCAAGUCAGUGCUAGAUACAUCCAUUUGAGGAACAAGUUUGAGACAAGUUUUUUCGAACGGAGGGAGUAUGUA